UAUGAAGAAUGGAGACAGUAUUGGCUUUGCUUUGCACCAAAUUGAAUUCAGAAGCACUAAAGAUCAAUGAGAAACCGAUCCUAUAAGCCUAAUUUCACUUCCUUCUAUUGUAUACAUAGUAAAGGUUUCCAUUUGAACAUA